rnacentral:rRNA from 1 species
GCGAGCGUUGUCCGGAUUUAUUGGGCGUAAAGAGCUCGUAGGCGGUUUGGCAAGUCGGGUGUGAAAACUCCGGGCUCAACUCGGAGACGCCACUCGAUACUGGUAUGACUCGAGUCCGGUAGGGGAGUGCGGAAUUCCUGGUGUAGCGGUGAAAUGCGCAGAUAUCAGGAGGAACACCGGUGGCGAAGGCGGCACUCUGGGCCGGAACUGACGCUGAGACGCGAAAGCGUGGGGAGCGAACAGG